rnacentral:tRNA from 2 species
GCCCGGAUAGCUCAGUCGGUAGAGCAGAGGACUGAAAAUCCUCGUGUCGGUGGUUCGAUUCCGCCUCCGGGCACCA